UACGUAGGGUGCGAGCGUUAAUCGGAAUUACUGGGCGUAAAGCGUGCGCAGGCGGGUGUGUAAGUCAGAUGUGAAAUCCCCGGGCUUAACCUGGGAACUGCGUUUGAAACUACAAGGCUAGAGUGUAGCAGAGGGGGGUGGAAUUCCACGUGUAGCAGUGAAAUGCGUAGAGAUGUGGAGGAACACCGAUGGCGAAGGCAGCCCCCUGGGUUAACACUGACGCUCAGGCACGAAAGCGUGGGGAGCGAUCCGG
rnacentral:rRNA from 1 species